GGCGCUAUAGCCAAGUGGUUACGGCGACAGAUUAGAAUUACUACUUAUCUGUUCCUCUUUGAGGGCGCAGGUUCAAAUCCUGCUGGCGUCG